GACGAACGCUGGCGGCGUGCUUAACACAUGCAAGUCGAACGGAAAGGCCCUGCUUUUGUGGGGUGCUCGAGUGGCGAACGGGUGAGUAACACGUGAGUAACCUGCCCUUGACUUUGGGAUAACUUCAGGAAACUGGGGCUAAUACCGGAUAGGAGCUCCUGCUGCAUGGUGGGGGUUGGAAAGUUUCGGCGGUUGGGGAUGGACUCGCGGCUUAUCAGCUUGUUGGUGGGGUAGUGGCUUACCAAGGCUUUGACGGGUAGCCGGCCUGAGAGGGUGACCGGCCACAUUGGGACUGCGAUACGGCCCAGACUCCUACGGGAGGCAGCAGUGGGGAAUAUUGUACAAUGGGCGGAAGCCUGAUGCAGCAACGCCGCGUGCGGGAUGACGGCCUUCGGGUUGUAAACCGCUUUCGCCUGUGACGAAGCGUGAGUGACGGUAAUGGGUAAAGAAGCACCGGCUAACUACGUG
rnacentral:rRNA from 1 species